rnacentral:rRNA from 1 species
CUGCUUCUACUUUCUGUAUGGAGCUGGGAGCGUCUGCCUGUUGGAUGCCCGAAGAGCGUCAGGUUUGAUCCUUGGUAUGCAGAUGAACAUGACGAAUUACGGCGCCCCACGUGGGCUUACAAGUGGGAUAUCGUUGCCGAGAUGAGAACAAUGUCAAUCUCAUGUACCCAAAGUACAUUGCCGAGUUGGACACGAUUACGCCUGAGCAGGUGA